rnacentral:rRNA from 1 species
UACGUAGGUGGCAAGCGUUGUCCGGAAUUAUUGGGCGUAAAGGGCGCGUAGGUGGUUUGCCAAGUCGGGGUUGAAAUCUUUCGGCUUAACCGGAAAAGUGGCUUCGAUACUGGCAAGCUGGAGGGAGGUAGGGGCGGAUGGAACUUCCGGUGGAGCGGUGAAAUGUGUUGAUAUCGGAAGGAACGCCGGUGGCGAAAGCGAUCCGCUGGACCUCUUCUGACACUGAGGCGCGAAAGCCAGGGGAGCAAACGGG